rfam:Candidatus Accumulibacter sp. BA-93 contig000039, whole genome shotgun sequence.
CCUCAUGGCUGAAAGGUCGACGCGGAAACGCGGAGCGAGGAGUCAGCAGAGGCCGUAGUAGCUGCCUGCGUGGAGUGAAGGGC